CUUGACAAAAAUCAAGAUAUUCAAUUGGAAUUGUUUAUUUUUAUGUUCUUUUUAAUUUCGGGAGAAAAUAUCUUUCAUCUCUUCUCUACACUUGAACAGCAGGUGGGCAGACACUGAAAUUUUUCAGGAGACUGAGCGUGUGGGCAAGUCACUUGGAAGAAGUUCAAACGUCAUGUAUAUUACUGAUGUUGACAACUGUAACUGCAGGACACAGGAGAAGCAAUCCUAGCUGGGGUAGAGCUGGCAUUUUCAAGAGGAAAGAAAAGCACUCCUGCCAAUUCCUUCUUGUUGCCAUUUCAUCUGAAAUAAGGAAGAGGUGAUGUCCUACAAUGAGCUGCUCAACAAUUGAUGGUGACCUCUAGCUGGCCAAGGCCUUCAGAAUUUGACAAUCAUAUAUGGAGUGAGUUUAUUUUACUGUGAAGGAAAUGGAUAAGUACCAUUCCAAUGGGA
ensembl:lincRNA